ACUGCCCCUCAAGGCAUUGAAGGUGUUGUCUGCUGUGUCACAUGUGUGUCAGUAGGUGGCAGAGAGGUGAGAGGCCAUGUCUACACUCAGUGUUCUGACCUGCGAGCAUCUGAAUGGUUAGUGACCUAACACU